rnacentral:lncRNA from 1 species
AAAAAAUUGACUUUUCCUGUUGACCGAGCACUGAUUAGAUGAUGAAAUGAGCUUACAAUAGAUAUGAGUGCAUGGGAUAGCUGGCAAUCUUGACCAAAUCUCAACCGUUCAUGAUUCAAUGGCCAUGAUUGUGCCACGUGGCAAUGGUUGGUGAAGCAAGUUGGAGGAUCCGAAUCUUUGUAUUCGGGUCAACCCGAUCCACCCAUUAACCCGCCAAAUCUCAACCGUUCUUUGGGCAAAU